rnacentral:rRNA from 1 species
UACCAGCACCGAGUGGUCGGGACGAUUAUUGGGCCUAAAGCAUCCGUAGCCGGUUUUACAAGUCCUCCGUUAAAUCCAACUGCUUAACAGAUGGGCUGCGGAGGAUACUAUAAGACUAGGAGGCAGGAGAGGCAAGCGGUACUCAGUGGGUAGGGGUAAAAUCCGUUGAUCCAUUGAAGACCACCAGUGGCGAAGGCGGCUUGCCAGAAUGCGCUCGACGGUGAGGGAUGAAAGCUGGGGGAGCAAACCGG